rnacentral:rRNA from 1 species
GUGCCAGCAGCCGCGGUAAUACGGAGGGAGCUAGCGUUGUUCGGAAUUACUGGGCGUAAAGCGCGCGUAGGCGGUUUUUUAAGUCAGAGGUGAAAGCCCAGUGCUCAACACUGGAACUGCCUUUGAAACUGGAAAACUUGAAUCUUGGAGAGGUCAGUGGAAUUCCGAGUGUAGAGGUGAAAUUCGUAGAUAUUCGGAAGAACACCAGUGGCGAAGGCGACUGACUGGACAAGUAUUGACGCUGAGGUGCGAAAGCGUGGGGAGCAAACAGGAUUAGAUACCCCUGUAGUCC